GAUGAACGCUGGCGGCGUGCCUAAUACAUGCAAGUCGAGCGAACAGACGAGAGUGCUUGCACUCUCUGACGUUAGCGGCGGACGGGUGAGUAACACGUGGGUAACCUACCUAUAAGACUGGGAUAACUUCGGGAAACCGGAGCUAAUACCGGAUAAUAUUUAGCUUCGCAUGAAGCAAUAGUGAAAGACGGUUCUGCUGUCACUUAUAGAUGGACCCGCGGUGUAUUAGCUAGUUGGUGAGGUAACGGCUCACCAAGGCAACGAUACAUAGCCGACCUGAGAGGGUGAUCGGCCACACUGGGACUGAGGCACGGCCCAGACUCCUACGGGAGGCAGCAGUAGGGAAUCUUCCGCAAUGGACGAAAGUCUGACGGAGCAAUGCCGCGUGAGUGAAGAAGGUUUUCGGAUCGUAAAACUCUGUUGUAAGGGAAGAACAAGUACGUUAGUAACUGAACGUACCUUGACGGUACCUUACCAGAAAGCCACGGCUAACUACGUG
rnacentral:rRNA from 1 species